rnacentral:rRNA from 1 species
CCUACGGGAGGCAGCAGUGAGGAAUCUUGCGCAAUGGGCGCAAGCCUGAUCCAGCCAUGCCGCGUGAGUGAAGAAGGCCUUAGGGUUGUAAAGCUCUUUUGCCAGGGGCGAUAAUGACGGUACCUGGAGAAUAAGCCCCGGCAAACUUCGUGCCAGCAGCCGCGGUAAUACGAAGGGGGCUAGCAUUGUUCGGAUUUACUGGGCGUAAAGCGCACGUAGGCGGGUCAUUAAGUCAGGGGUGAAAUCCCGGAGCUCAACUCCGGAACUGCCUUUGAUACUGGCGACCUUGAGGCUGGAAGAGGUUAGUGGAAUUCCCAGUGUAGAGGUGAAAUUCGUAGAUAUUGGGAAGAACACCAGUGGCGAAGGCGGCUAACUGGUCCAGAUCUGACGCUGAGGUGCGAAAGCGUGGGGAGCAAACAGGAUUAGAUACCCCAGUAGUCC